UUAGGGUUAGCUCUGUCCGUGGGAUUCUCCAGGCAAGAAUACUGGAGUGGGUGGCCAUUCCCUUCUACAGGAGAUCUUCAUGACCCAGGGAUCGAGCCCAGGUCUCUCGCAGUGCAGGCAGAUUAACACCUGACCCACCCGGGAAGCAUCUCGUUGCUCGUUAAAUAGGGGAAGGCUGGUUUCUCAUAGCAAAAUGCUUGCUGUUCUAAGUUAAGAGGGAUUCGAGACCCAGCAAAGUCCAAAGACGUGGCUCAGGCACGGAGCCGAGGCUUUCCUAGCUCUUUGUGCUUGUAACAAGAAUUGCAGUAAGUACCCGAAGGGCGCGGCGCUGCGCUUCCCUGACCGGAAGCCCAGGCUCAGCCGGGAGGCCAAGCUGCAGAAGGACGUCUGGAGUUCAAAGGCAGAGGGUGAGGCCAGGGAGGAGGCGGCCCAGCAGGCAGAAAGGAAUGGAGCCUGCUCUGCUGGAGUGUGAAGCCAAGUCCGGGCUCCUCCUGCUGCGAAAAUAGCAGUUCUUACAGGCACCAGCACUUUCCCGCGGGUCUCAGGAAACAACCCCAGACUGUCGGAGAGAAGCCAGCUGGGACCUGGAGGUGCAGACCCGGCUCAGAUCCCCAUGUGACACUUAGCCCCUGCGUGGCCUGGGGCCCAGCCUGCAAGCCGCAGGGGUGACAUCCCUGAAAAGAGCCUGCAGGCCUGGAGUCCAAGAGCCCAGGGUCUUCUCACCGUCCUCCCCCUGCGUCCAGAUGUCCACUUUCAUAGGGGCAUCAGCCUUAUUGGAUCAGGGUGAUGACUUGCCUUGGAUGGACGGCAGGCCGGGCUCAUACAAAACCCCUUUGCCUCUGCUUCUCCCAGCAUCUCCCAGCAGGGUUCCUGGAUGCCUCCAGCUUGGAACUGGCUCCCCAAGACCCUGCCAAGAGCCAGCAGACUUCUUCACAUGCUGUCAAUUCUGGCAUCAAUGUGUUUUUAAGUAGAAUUCAAGUUCAUACAAUGGAACUAACCGUUGCCCCGAGUCAUGACAUUUUCCCGCCUUCCGUUCAUGCUUGUCUCUCCAGCCGUCUUAUAUUUUAUUUAUUCAUUUAUUUGGUGUUAGUUAUUUGAUUAACACCCAAGACGUAUACGACUGGAGCAGAGGACUGCCACCCUGCAGCUCACAUCUGUGUUCCCCCAUCCCCACCCCUCUGCUCUCCACCCCCAGCUGCCCAGCUACAGGCAACGCUGUCCUGAGUCUUGUCUGUGGUUCUCCUGAUGUGUUCAUCCAACAGCGUUAGCAGGAUGUGUGUGUGUCUGAGGAGGAAUGUUUGGUUCCGAUUUUGUUGCCUGUGUUCUUUAUGUUUCAAGAGCUGUUCUUUAAGUCACUACUUACUAGAGUUUAGUCUCUAAACCGCAGCAGCUGGGAACCUGGAACUCAUGCAACUCAUGAAAAUUCUCGAGCGGUCCCUCCCCUGCCCCUCCACCCACCCACGAAUCAGACACUGUGGUGUGUGGUUCUCUGACCACUAAUGAGGGCGGCGACCUCUCAAUGUCCUCGCUGAAUGUUGUGUUGUCUCUGCUCUGAAAUGCUUGGCAGAGCUUUGCCACUAUUUUUUUUCUUGCUGGGUUAUCAUUUUACUAUUGCUUUUAGUUCUUUAUAUAUUCUUGACACUGAUUCUCAGUUAAAGUGCACAGAGGAUAUUUUCUUCCUUGUAGUCUGUGUGUUCUUUCUUGAUGUGGCUUUAAGAUGAACAGACCUUCUAAUUU